rnacentral:rRNA from 1 species
UAGCUGUCUCCCUUUUAGAUAUAAAAAUUAGCAUUUAGGUGAAGAGACCUAAAUAAAAUUAGAGGACAAGAAGACCCCGUAGAGCUUAGUCCAUAAACUCUAUAAAUAUGAAUAAUAGUAUAUCAAAUUUAUAAUUAGUCACAAGACUUAGCUGGGGCGGGCUAAGGAAAAUUCUAUCUUCCAAAUAUAAUUAUAAUCUUUAUAAUAACCUUCAAGGCCCAUAAGCCUUUAAAAAUAUGACCCUAAACUAGAAUAUAAAACAUAGCUACCUCGGGGAUAACAGAUUAAUCCUUCUUGAGAGUCCGCAUUGACAGAAGGGUUUGACACCUCGAUGUUGGCUUAGAGUACCCAAUAGAUUUGCAACAGUCUA